rnacentral:sRNA from 1 species
GUUGAACAGUACAGAGAGGCAUAAAAAGCAGACACCUCCUGCUCCUCACAUAACCUGUUUUCAGCCCUACUCUGUAAUCUGUUUUCCAUCGUGAUUUUACUUACAUUUGGUACUUUUGAUUCUUCAGGGCCAGUGGGGAGUGACGGCAGCAGAGGAAGAGGAGGAAAAUAAGAGGAUUGGAGAAUUUAAAGAAUCUAUACCAAAAAUGUGCUCACAGUUGCGAAUAUUGACCCAUUUCUACCAGGGUAUCGUGCAGCAGUUUUUGGUGUUACUGACGACCAGCUCUGACGAGAGUCUUCGGUUUCUUAGCUUCAGGCUGGACUUUAACGAGCAUUACAAAGCCAGGGAGCCCAGGCUCCGCGUGUCUCUGGGUACCAGGGGGCGGCGCAGCUCCCACACGUGAAACUCGUGGUCCUCCCAGGGAGCUGCGGGUGAUGCUCGUUGCACUGCUAGACACGAAAUUCCCAUCGACGUCCUGCAGGAACUGCAUGCUGACCACGAGUGCGCCAUGUUUCAGCGGAGCGGCGUGUGGG